CCGGUUUUCACUCAGCCGUAAGGUACGGAAAUGGAUUUUGAAUCUCUAAUUUGGUUUACUCUACUACUAACUUUAAUGGCGUUUGCAAUAUUCGCCUAUUGGUAUUGGUAUAUAUGGCGGCCAAAUGAAGUCGUACGCAAUGUGAAACGAAAAUCAGCAGCGCAGUGUGAUGAAAACGAAGGAGUAUACAACGAA